AGCAAAGACGAGGCACCUUGUUUCCUGUCGUUUUAUUUCCAAAGCCCCAGUGAUGAUCCUUAGUGGGAAAAGUACAGCUCAAAUUGCCUUCCUGGGAGACGAGGGUCUACAUGGAUUCAGCUUUCCAAACCCUUUUCCGUCAUGUUGUGCACAUUGUGAGAGCAGUCCAUGCAGCUGUUGUGUAAGAGCACUGUUUUCCUAAGUAGGCCCUGUUUCCUGCCACCCUAUUUUUGCCUCAGCAAUCAGUGGAAAUGACUGUAUGUGAACAACACGAGAAGUGCUUGAGCUCAGCUUCUCAAAUUUGAGAGCUCACAAGUCUUCCAAGAGCAUAUGGAUGGGAACCCAGAGACCCCCAAAUUCCAGUCUACGCAACACUGUUUUAGGCUCUUUGGAAGUGUGACAGGAUCCGUGGAUUGUGCAUGACCAAGAUGUAAGAAGGCAGGCAGCCCACCUGCAGAUGAACAGUGCAGCGUCCAGCGCCCGCCAGAGUCUGUGAUCUCCUCCCUGAAAGGACAGCAAAACCUGCUGGUUUGGUUGCUGAGGUAGCUGCAGCAUGGCCCUCUCAUGCAAGGUGAUGUUAAUCAGAGUCCUGAAGGCAGAGGGGACCACUUCCUAGCCACACACAGUUUGUGAGACUGAACCUAUCUGCUCAAAUAUACAUAUUUUUUCAUCUAGUUAAAUUUGGUAUGAGGGAUAGGGGGAGUAGGGGUGAGUGGAGGUGAUGUGGACUGUAACUAAAUCUGGAGCCUGGCCCCAGAUUUUGAUCAAAAGAAUCUGAUAUUUACUGUACAACCAUAUUGACUCAGAAGCAAAGCUUUUGAAAAAUAUGGAUGCCCAAUCCACAUCUCCAUGAAUUCUUAUUUAAUUGACCUAAAAAGA